UACGUAGGGGGCAAGCGUUGUCCGGAUUUAUUGGGCGUAAAGAGCUCGUAGGCGGUUCGGUAAGUCGGAUGUGAAAUCUCCAGGCUCAACCUGGAGGGGUCAUUCGAUACUGCCGUGACUAGAGGUCGGUAGGGGAGUGUGGAAUUCCUGGUGGAGCGGUGAAAUGCGCAGAUAUCAGGAGGAACACCGGUAGCGAAGGCGGCACUCUGGGCCGAUACUGACACUGAGGAGCGAAAGCGUGGGGAGCAAACAGG
rnacentral:rRNA from 1 species